AUUGAACGCUGGCGGCAUGCCUUACACAUGCAAGUCGAACGGCAGCAUGGGAGCAAUCCUGGUGGCGAGUGGCGAACGGGUGAGUAAUGCAUCGGAACGUACCUAUUAGUGGGGGAUAACGCUUCGAAAGGAGUGCUAAUACCGCAUACGACCUGAGGGUGAAAGUGGGGGACCGUAAGGCCUCACGCUAAUAGAUCGGCCGAUGUCUGAUUAGCUAGUUGGUGGGGUAAAGGCUCACCAAGGCGACGAUCAGUAGCGGGUCUUAGAGGACGAUCCGCCACACUGGAACUGAGACACGGUCCAGACUCCUACGGGAGGCAGCAGUGGGGAAUCUUGGACAAUGGGCGCAAGCCUGAUCCAGCAAUGCCGCGUGGGUGAAGAAGGCCUUCGGGUUGUAAAGCCCUUUUGUUUGGGAGCAAAUCCUACUGGUUAAUACCUGGUGGGGAUGAGAGUACCAAAAGAAUAAGCACCGGCUAACUACGUGCCAGCCGCCGCCGUAA
rnacentral:rRNA from 1 species